GCUCUUCAUUUUCUUCUCUUCCUCCCGUUCUGCCACUCCGUCGAAUAUCUGAGCCUGUCCCUCGUUCCAGUCACUCAUUUUCUUCGUCGGUUGCCUUUGGAGUCCUACGCCGUCUGCUGCUGCCGUCUUCGGAGUCUUCUGUUAUCGUUUCUGGAGUAAUCAACGGUUUUUAACCUCUCUCCUUACCCAUCAGCCAAUAAAUUGGAAUUUCAUCUAGCAAAGUUGGAGUUUGAAGACCUUUCUUGGCCGUUGGUGAGUUUGGAGUCCUUCUGGCUUCUACUACUGCUUCUGUUCUGGCCUCUCGUUAAGUUUGGGUUUCUGAUUUAUUGUCGUCUUUGAUUUCAUUUUUGUUUUCUGAUUUAUUGACUUGCCUCUCUGUUGCUGUUCAAUGGUUUCUUGAAAACUCUCCUGUUGUGAGCGUUUGGUUGUUUUCGGCUGUUAUGCGUGAGGACUUCUCUUGAUAUACAGAUUAUCAUUAUGGGUCAAUGAUGAGAUUUUCAAUUUUUGGUGGGAGGAAAUGGCAAUUUUCCUUUUUCAAAGCUUAAGGUAACCGCCUGAAAACAGUUAUGGGUCAACAGCCAAGACCGUAAAAAUAAAGGCUCGAAUUAAGAAAUUUCCAAACAGGGAAAAAGUGGUAUCCCCACAAACACUCUGCCUUUAGCUUCCCUCUUCACAAGAAAAGCAAAGUUCUUUAUUCACUCCUUAACGCAAACUUCCCCUCAUUCAAUUCAAUUCACUUCAUCUUUCUUGUUUCUCUGCAAUAAUGGAUCGUUUCUUCACUCUCUAUGCCGCCUUUUUUACUCUUCUAUCGCUUUCUUCUCUAUCAGAUGUUGAAUCAGCUUCUUUCAAGCUUAUCAACAAGUGUCGCUACACGGUGUGGCCUGGUUUGCUAUCUGGCGCCGGCACUGCGCAGCUUCCCACCACGGGCUUUGCACUUAAAAGCGGCAAAUCGAAAACAGUAAACAUACCCAGAUCCUGGUCUGGUCGGAUAUGGGGUCGAACCGUCUGUACCCAAGAUUCAUCUGGUAAAUUUUCCUGUCUGACAGGCGAUUGUGGGUCAGGGAAGCUAGAAUGUGGCGGGAGUGGGGCUAUUCCUCCUGCUACCUUAGCAGAGUUCACGCUUAACGGCGCCGGAGGUUUGGAUUUUUAUGAUGUUAGCUUAGUCGACGGCUACAACCUCCCUAUGCUAGUGAUCCCCAAGAAAACCACAAACGGUCUCUGCGGCGCAACGGGGUGUUUGAUAGACCUAAACGGCGCGUGCCCGAAGGAAUUGAAAUUGGCAGCGCGUGCGAAUGGGCAAGUAGGAGCCGCUUGUAGGAGCGCGUGUGAGGCAUUUGGGGAACCGCAGUUUUGUUGCAGUGACGCCUAUUCUACUCCUGACACGUGCUCGCCAUCAGUUUACUCGGAAUUUUUUAAACACGCUUGCCCACGCGCAUAUAGCUACGCGUACGAUGAUAAGACAAGCACAUACACGUGUGCCAACACCGAUUAUGUUAUUAUAUUUUGUCCGCCACCAUAUUCCAGGUAAAAUUACUAAUUACCCUCAAGAGCUCCGUGUCUUUUUCUAUUCAUUAUGCAGAAUGUGGGAGGCUAGUGUAGUAAUUUCAAUAGUCAACAAGAUUGACAUGCUGGCAAGGUCCAGAAAUUUCGGGUGAUGCUUAAAGUAGAGAAUAAUUGAAGGGUGAUAAUGAUGGAUGAGGAACAAAAUUAAUUAUUGAAAGGUGACCCUCUUAAGUAACUAUAAAUAAUGAUGCUACACAAAUCUGCCACUAUGGAAUGAUAAUUCAAAGCGCAGAGACUUGUCAUGCUCAAGCUUUCUUACCAAUUAGCGAAAAAUUGUUAGGAAGACGAAAAGAUGGAGCGCAGCUUCCGCUGGUGAAUAAGACUAUGAUGUACAUAUCUAGCAAACACGCAAGCAGCGCGUCAUCCUCAGACAGAUAGUAGCACAAAUUGAAGCUGAAGAACAUAGUUAUCUUCCCUAAUGCAGUGCCACACGGCAUUGUUGACGGGUUGAGAGAUGAAGUGCUGCUGUGCAGAGUAGCAAUGUUUGAAGAAGCUUAUAAAAAAAAAAAACCGAAGAUUGUAUAUUCCUUCCUCUUCUAUAUCUUUGUUAGAUUUUGUUAUUGGGAAUAUAUGUCAUAUUGAUUUUUGGAAAUAAUGUAUUUCCAUUACGUGUAUUACAUCAACUUUAGUACAUAAUAUAGGUUUUGGCAAAACAAUUGCUAUUUCCA